GAAAAAAUGGCAAUGGGCAGAUUGUUGAAUUUGCCUAAAUGCAUUUCGUAUUUCCUACAUGAUUAUUUCAUGUUUCUCAUCCAAACAUAUUUUAGUCUUGUGCCAUUAAUUUAAUGUUGAAGGAUGUUCAACCUUUGAAAAAAAAUCAUGUUGAAAUGAAAGAAAUCAGUUAUGUUUUCUCUGGAAACUCCGCCCCCAUGAGAACCGUUAACUGCUCGUGCGCGCCACUCCUCCAUUUUCUCUCUCGCUCUGGACGGUGGAAGCAGAGCCCGUGGAAGCUGACUGCAAGUUGUCGUGGUGGAAAGCUACAGUCGAAGAUAUCAGAUUCAUGUACCAGUGCACAUGCAAUGUGACUUGGAAAUUCUCUAGUAGUGUGAAUGUGGCAGUGUAAAGGGUGCCCGGUAGCAGUUCCAAGUAGAUUGGCAUUACUAAGUCAUCGUAAACUGAGACAUCCACACUUUGGGCGUACAAGCCGUUAUCCAUGUUGGUGACGAAGCCUCUAUUCAAAAAUCCACAGAGAAGACCACAGUGGGACUCUACAUUCUAAAAUUUCAUGACCGAUCUGACGACAUUGGGAUUGUCCUUGAAGGCCAGAACAUCUUGCAAGGCUUGGAUAACUUUGCAUUAACUACGGGAAUGCUUUUUGCUCUAAUGAGGUACUGCAGAAGAUAAUCAUGGAGCUGAAAGGAUGCACUCCAUCCAAGAAAGCUCAAGUUCUCAGAAACAGACUCUAUGAGUGAGCUGUUUCCAUGGUACGGCAGGCGGACACAAUGUAGUUUCCUACCUCUUGGAAUAAGGAACAUUUAUUUUUUUAUUUCACACACUCACAAAGAACUUCCUUUAUUCAAAAGUGUACUCUGUUUGAUAUGAGUAGGUUGACCACUUGGGUGGGUGCUUUGAGUAUGGGUGAUUUGAGUACGGGUGCUUUGAGUAAAACUGAUAUGCUGUCAUAGCUUAAAUUCCAUGAACAAAUGUCAAUGAUCAAUGACAGCAUACCAGUUUUACUCAAAGCACCCGUACUCAAAGCACUAUACUCUGAAAAAGCUGGACAGUAAUGAUGAGUAUUAGUAGUCCAAAGCUUCCCCUCACGUUUUUGUUUAUUUUUCAUGAAUUUUAAUAUCU